rnacentral:rRNA from 1 species
AACUGAAUUGCUUAUUGCACCACAUGUGUUUUUCUUUGAAACAAACUUGCUUUGGCGGUGGGCCCAGCCUGCCGCCAGAGGUCUAAACUUACAACCAAUUUUUUAUCAACUUGUCACACCAGAUUAUUACUAAUAGUCAAAACUUUCAACAACGGAUCUCUUGGUUCUCGCAUCGAUGAAGAACGCAGCGAAAUGCGAUACGUAAUAUGAAUUGCAGAUAUUCGUGAAUCAUCGAAUCUUUGAACGCACAUUGCGCCCUCUGGUAUUCCGGAGGGCAUGCCUGUUUGAGCGUCGUUUCUCCCUCAAACCGCUGGGUUUGGUGUUGAGCAAUACGACUUGGGUUUGCUUGAAAGACGGUAGUGGUAAGGCGGGAUCGCUUUGACAAUGGCUUAGGUCUAACCAAAAACAUUGCUUGCGGCGGCAACGUCUACCACGUAUAUCUUCAAACUUUGACCUCAAAUCAGGUAGGACUACCCGCUGAACUUAAGCAUAUCAAAAGCCGGAGGAA